ensembl:ncRNA K01B6.6 ncRNA
UGUAUCAAAUUGCAACCGAACUUUCACCUCCAUUAUAUCGGACUUUUUUUGAAUAAAAGAAACAUGGAAAAAAACAAGAAAAGAGAAUAAGAAUUUGUUUCGGAUGAGAAGAGAGGAUAAAGAAAUUAAAUGUUGA